UACGGAGGGUGCAAGCGUUAAUCGGAAUUACUGGCGUAAAGCGUGCGUAGGUGGUUCGUUAAGUCCGUUGUGAAAGCCCCGAGCUCAACUUGGGAAUUGCAGUGGAUACUGGCGAGCUGGAGUGCGGUAGAGGAAGGUGGAAUUCCCGGUGUAGCGGUGAAAUGCGUAGAGAUCGGGAGGAACACCAGUGGCGAAGGCGGCCUUCUGGACCAGCACUGACACUCAAGCACGAAAGCGUGGGAGCAAACAGG
rnacentral:rRNA from 1 species